rnacentral:lncRNA from 1 species
CAAAAAUGCUAAAAAUCCCAGCGUGGGACUAUAAUGAGGCACAAGCUCAACCCACUCACCUGUGUCUUGAUUAUAUCCGCUAGCUGUUGUGCUCUCGAACAUGGACAGAAGCCCAGCUGUUAUCACAAAGCAGAGAGAGAAACUUGCUGGUCCCAAAACUUUAAUGCUGCAGUCCAGCUGUACCAUCAUGUCAAACUGCACAGAGGAGAAGACAGCUCACUCCUGGCCCCAUCCUGGAAAUAUCAAUUUAGUUCACCCUGCACUUGUAGCCCAGGCUCAGGCAGAGUUUGGCAUUACCAGUGCUUACUCUUGUGCAUGGUUGAAACCAGGGAGGACGGUUAUCAAUGUCUAUAAUAUUGACGAUGAUGGUUGCUGAAGCUGUGAAAGAGAGUUCACCCGAUUGUGAUGGAGGUAGAGUAUCCUGUUAGAGUCAAGAAUUGUUUGUGUUUUACGUCAGAUCAGGAGAGAAUUUCUGAAAUUAUCACAUUCAAAUGAAACGAUUUUUACAUACCUGCACAUACAAGAUCAGUUUCACCUGUUGGAUGACAUCGUAAUCUAAAAUCUUGUUCACAAGGAUGCUUGGUGUGUACAUGGUCUCAAGUCUGAAGUAUGUAUUCUGUAAAGAAAUGUUUACAUUAAAGGAAUAGUUCAUAGUUGAAGGAAUAAAGCAAA